rnacentral:tRNA from 1 species
GCGCCCGUAGCUCAGUGGAUAGAGCAGAGGUUUCCUAAACCUCGUGUCGGCGGUUCGAUUCCGUCCGGGCGCACCA